rnacentral:rRNA from 1 species
AGCGAACGCUGGCGGCAGGCCUAACACAUGCAAGUCGAGCGCCGUAGCAAUACGGUGCGGCAGACGGGAGAGUAACACGUGGGAACGUGCCCUUCAGUUCAGAACAACCCAGGGAAACUUGGGCUAAUACCGAAUACGUCCGUAAGGAGAAAGAUUUAUCGCUGAAGGAUCGGCCCGCGUCUGAUUAGCUAGUUGGUGAGGUAACGGCUCACCAAGGCGACGAUCAGUAGCUGGUCUGAGAGGAUGAUCAGCCUCACUGGGACUGAGACACGGCCCAGACUCCUACGGGAGGCAGCAGUGGGGAAUAUUGGACAAUGGGCGCAAGCCUGAUCCAGCCAUGCCGCGUGGAUGAUGAAGGCCCUAGGGUUGUAAAGUCCUUUUAACGGGGAAGAUAAUGACGGUACCCGUAGAAUAAGCCCCGGCUAACUUCGUGCCAGCCGCCGCAGUAA